rnacentral:rRNA from 1 species
AACGAACGCUGGCGGCAGGCCUAACACAUGCAAGUCGAGCGAGGACUUCGGUCCUAGCGGCGGACGGGUGAGUAACGCGUGGGAACGUGCCCUUUGCUUCGGAAUAGCCCUGGGAAACUGGGAGUAAUACCGGAUGAGCCCUUUGGGGGAAAGAUUUAUCGGCGAAGGAUCGGCCCGCGUUGGAUUAGGUAGUUGGUGGGGUAAUGGCCUACCAAGCCGACGAUCCAUAGCUGGUUUGAGAGGAUGAUCGGCCACACUGGGACUGAGACACGGCCCAGACUCCUACGGGAGGCAGCAGUGGGGAAUCUUAGACAAUGGGGGAAACCCUGAUCUAGCCAUGCCGCGUGAGCGAUGAAGGCCUUAGGGUUGUAAAGCUCUUUCAGCUGGGAAGAUAAUGACGGUACCAGCAGAAGAAGCCCCGGCUAACUCCGUG